rnacentral:rRNA from 1 species
AGUAAACAAGGGCGCAUGGAGGAUGCCUAGGCUCUCGAAGGCGAAGAAGGACGUGAUAAGCUGCGAAAAGCUACGGUAAGGAGCAAAUAUCCGCUGACCCGUAGAUCUCCGAAUGGGGCAACCCGUCGUCGCAAGGCGACACACUGCAAGUCAGUGAGCAAACGUGGGGAACUGAAACAUCUCAUUACCCACAGGAAAAGAAAAUAACAAUGAUUCCGCUAGUAGUGGCGAGCGAACGCGGAAGAGCCCAAACCGUUCCUGUUUCGGCAGGAGCGGGGUAGAAGGACCGCCGAUAAAGGCAAGAGCGGAGGAAGUCGAACCAAUUGGAAAGUUGGAUCAAAGAAGGUGACAAUCCCGUAGACGAAUCCGAAGCGAAGCCGAGGCGGCACCUGAGUAGUGCGGGACACGAGAAAUCCUGUAUGAAUCCGCGGGGACCAUCCCGUAAGGCUAAAUACUCCCGAGAGACCGAUAGCGAACCAGUACUGUGAAGGAAAGGUGAAAAGAACCUCGAACAGAGGAGUGAAAUAGACCCUGAAACCAUGCGCCUACAAGCGGUCGGAGCUUCUAUAUGGAGUGACGGCGUGCCUUUUGCAUAAUGAACCUACGAGUUACUUUUGUUGGCCAGGCUAAGGGCUUCAGGCCCGGAGCCGAAGCGAAAGCGAGUCUGAACAGGGCGUCAUAGUCAGCAGGAGUAGACGCGAAACCAAGUGAUCUACCCAUGAGCAGGUUGAAGGUUGGGUAACACCAACUGGAGGACCGCACCGGUAAACGUUGAAAAGUUUUCGGAUGACUUGUGGGUAGGGGUGAAAGGCUAAUCAAACUUGGAGAUAGCUCGUACUCCCCGAAAUGCAUUUAGGUGCAGCCUUCGGGUUCGAGUUGAAGAGGUAGAGCGACUGAUAAGAUGCGAGGGCUUCACCGCCUAUCAAGUCUUGAUAAACUCCGAAUGCUUCAACUCAAGACCGAGGAGUGAGGGCAUGGGUGCUAAGGUCCAUGUCCGAGAGGGAAACAACCCAGACCAUCAGCUAAGGUCCCGAAAUAAUAGCUAAGUUGAAUUAACGAAGUAGAAUUGCAAAGACAGCUAGGAUGUUGGCUUGGAAGCAGCCAUUCAUUUAAAGAGUGCGUAACAGCUCACUAGUCGAGGAAUUCUGCGUGGAUAAUAAUCGGGCAUAAGCUAUUUACCGAAGCUAUGGAAUAUGCAAAUAUUGGUAGGGGAGCAUUCCACGGGUCGCAGAAGGCCUGUUUUGAGACAGACUGGAGACAGUGGAAAAGCAAAUGUAGGUAUAAGUAACGAUAAAGGAGGCGGGAAACCUCCUCGCCGCAAGACCAAGGGUUCCUGAUCAACGCUAAUCGGAUCAGGGUAAGUCGGGCCCUAAGGCGUAGCCGAACGGCGCAGCCGAUGGCAGAAACGGUUAAUAUUCCGUUACUGAAUGUAGGAGUGACGCGGAGACGGAGCAGUGACACAUCCGCCUGCAGACGGAAUAGCAGGUUGAAGAGUGUAGAUAUUGUCCCGGUAGGCAAAUCCGCCGGGAUAGUCGAACUUGAUAGUACCGGGCGUCCUCGGACAACCGGAUAGCGAUGGUAAUCAGACUCCCAAGAAAAUCCGCUAAACAUAUGCUACAUUCACCCGUACCCCAAACGGACACACGUGGUUGGGUAGAAUAUACCAAGGCGCUCGAGAGAUUCACGGUUAAGGAACUAGGCAAAUUGACCCUGUAACUUCGGGAGAAAGGGUCCCGACUGAAAGAAGUCGGGCGCAGAGAAUAGGUCCAGGCAACUGUUUAACAAAAACACAGGGCUGUGCGAAAUUGGAAGAUGAAGUAUACAGCCUGACACCUGCCCGGUGCUGGAAGGUUAAGAGGAGACGUCAUCGCAAGAGAAGCGUAGAAUUGAAGCCCCAGUAAACGGCGGCCGUAACUAUAACGGUCCUAAGGUAGCGAAAUUCCUUGUCGGGUAAGUUCCGACCUGCACGAAUGGUGCAAUGAUCUGGACACUGUCUCAACCGUGAGCUCGGUGAAAUUGUAGUAUCGGUGAAGAUGCCGAUUACCCGCAACGGGACGGAAAGACCCCGUGAACCUUUACUGCAACUUAGCAUUGAAUUUGGGUACUUGAUGUGUAGGAUAGUCCGGAGGCAGAGAAUUGGGUACGCCAGUAUCCGAGGAGCCGCUGUUGAAAUACGGACCUUUGAUUAUUUGAAUUCUAACUCUGUAUUAGAGAGGACACUGCUUGGUGGGUAGUUUGACUGGGGUGGUCGCCUCCAAAAGCGUAACGGAGGCUUCUAAAGGUACCCUCAGGCCGAUUGGUAACCGGCCGUAGAGUGUAAUGGCACAAGGGUGCUUGACUGAGAGACCGACACGUCGAUCAGGUAGGAAACUAGAGCAUAGUGAUCCGGUGGUUCCGCAUGGAAGGGCCAUCGCUCAAAGGAUAAAAGGUACUCCGGGGAUAACAGGCUGAUCGCUCCCAAGAGCUCAUAUCGACGGAGCGGUUUGGCACCUCGAUGUCGGCUCGUCACAUCCUGGGGCUGGAGAAGGUCCCAAGGGUUGGGCUGUUCGCCCAUUAAAGUGGCACGCGAGCUGGGUUCAGAACGUCGUGAGACAGUUCGGUCCCUAUCUGUUGUGGGCGCAGGAAAUUUGCGAGGCUCUGACACUAGUACGAGAGGACCGUGUUGGACCGGCCGCUGGUUUAUCAGUUGUUCCGCCAGGAGCACUGCUGAGUAGCUAAGCCGGGAUUGGAUAAGUGCUGAAAGCAUCUAAGUACGAAGCCAGCCUCAAGAUAAGAUUUCCCUAGAGGGUCGUUGCAGACGACGACGUAGAUAGGUUGCAGGUGUAAAGGCAGUAAUGCCAAAGCCGAGCAAAACUAAUCACCCGAGACU